rnacentral:rRNA from 1 species
GAUGAACGCUGGCGGCGUGCUUAACACAUGCAAGUCGAACGAAGCACUUAUCUUUGAUUCUUCGGAUGAAGAGGUUUGUGACUGAGUGGCGGACGGGUGAGUAACGCGUGGGUAACCUGCCUCAUACAGGGGGAUAACAGUUAGAAAUGACUGCUAAUACCGCAUAAGACCACGGAGCCGCAUUGCUCCGUGGGAAAAACUCCGUUGGUAUGAGAUGGACCCGCGUCUGAUUAGGUAGUUGGUGGGGUAACGGCCUACCAAGCCAACGAUCAGUAGCCGACCAGAGAGGGUGACAGGAGACAUUGGGACUGAGACACGGACCAAACUCCUACGGGAGGCAGCAGUGGGGAAUAUUGCAAAAUGGGGGAAACCCUGAUGAAGCGACGACGCGUGAGCGAAGAAGUAUUUCGGGAUGUAAAGCUCUAUCAGCAGGGAAGAAAAUGACGGUACCUGACUAAGAAGCACCGGCUAAAUACGUG